rnacentral:misc_RNA from 1 species
GAUGAAGAACGUAGCGAAAUGCGAUAAGUAGUGUGAAUUGCAGAAUUCCGUGAAUCAUCGAAUCUUUGAACGCACAUUGUGCCUCCUGGUAGUCCGGGAGGCAUGCCUGUUCGAGCGUCACCAAAUCCAACUCAAGCGGUUUUGCGCUUGGUCGUGGCGGAAGAGUCGGUCUGGUUGCCGUCUCCCCUCCGAAAAUCAACGGCGGAAAGUCACUGGCAGUCAGCGUAGUAGUAUCGUUCGCCGAACAUCCAGUGGCAUUCCUGCCGACGUACCCCCACAAUUCUCGUGAUUGACCUCGGAUCAGGUAGGGAUACCCGCUGAACUUAAGCAUAUCAAUAAGCGGAGGA